GACGAACGCUGGCGGCGCGCCUAACACAUGCAAGUCGAGCGAGAACCGGAGCUUCGGCUCCGGGGACAGCGGCGAACGGGUGAGUAACACGUGGAUAACCUGCCCUCGGCACCGGAAUAGCCCGGGGAAACUCGGAUUAAUGCCGGAUAGCCCCACAUCCCUGCGGGGAACGUGGGAAAGGUAGCUUCGGCCUCUGGCCGAGGAUGGGUCCGCGGUGGAUUAGCUUGUUGGUGGGGUAAUGGCCCACCAAGGCGACGAUCCAUAGCUGGUCUGAGAGGACGAUCAGCCACACUGGGACUGAGACACGGCCCAGACUCCUACGGGAGGCAG
rnacentral:rRNA from 1 species